AUGUCAGCAGCCGCGGUAAUACCAGCUCUCCGAGUGGUAGGGACGAUUAUUGGGCUUAAAGCGUCCGUAGCCGGCUUAGCAAGUCUCCUGUUAAAUUCAGCGACCUAAUCGUUGAGCCGCGGGAGAUACUACUAGGCUAGGAGGCGGGAGAGGUCGACGGUACUUCCGGGGUAGGGGUGAAAUCCUAUAAUCCCGGGAGGACCACCAGUGGCGAAGGCUGUCGACUAGAACGCGCUCGACGGUGAGGGACGAAAGCUGGGGGAGCGAACCGGAUUAGAUACCCUGGUAGUCCCAGCCGUAAACGAUGCGGGCUAGGUGUUGGAGUGGCUACGUGCCACUUCAGUGCCGCAGGGAAGCCAUUAAGCCCGCCGCCUGGGGAGUAUGCCCGCAAGGGUGAAACUCAAAGGAAUUGACGGGG
rnacentral:rRNA from 1 species